CCUACGGGCGGCUCCAGUGAGGAAUAUUGGUCAAUGGGCGCGAGCCUGAACCAGCCAAGUCGCGUGAGGGAAGACGGUCCUAUGGAUUGUAAACCUCUUUUGUCGGGGAGCAAAAGACGCCACGCGUGGCGUUCCGAGAGUACCCGAAGAAAAAGCCUCGGCUAACUCCGUGGCAGCAGCCGCGGUAAUACGGAGGAUGCGAGCGUUAUCCGGAUUUAUUGGGUUAAAAGGGUGCGCAGGCGGAAGAUCAAGUCAGCGGGAAAAUUGAGAGGCUCAACCUCUUCGAGCCGUUGAAACUGGUUGUCGUGAGUGAGCGAGAAGUAUGCGGAAUGCGUGGUGUAGCGGUGAAAUGCAUAGAUAUCACGAAGAACUCCGAUUGCGAAGGCAGCAUACCGGCGCUCAACUGACGCUCAUGCACGAAAGUGUGGGUAUCGAACAGGAUUAGAUACCCGUGUAGUC
rnacentral:rRNA from 1 species